rnacentral:rRNA from 1 species
CCUACGGGUGGCAGCAGUAGGGAAUAUUGCUCAAUGGGGGAAACCCUGAAGCAGCAACGCCGCGUGGAGGAUGAAGGUUUUCGGAUUGUAAACUCCUUUUGUUAGAGAAGAUAAUGACGGUAUCUAACGAAUAAGCACCGGCUAACUCCGUGCCAGCAGCCGCGGGAAUACGGAGGGUGCAAGCGUUACUCGGAAUCACUGGGCGUAAAGAGCGCGUAGGCGGGAUAGCAAGUCAGAUGUGAAAACCUAUGGUUUAAACAUAGAACUGCAUUUGAAACUGGUAAUCUAGAGUAUGGGAGAGGUAAGUGGAAUUCUUGGUGUAGGGGUAAAAUCCGUAGAGAUAAAGAAGAAUACUCAAGGCGAAGGCAACCUACUAGAUCAUAACUGACGCUGAGGGGCGAAAGCGUGGGGAGCAAACAGGAUUAGAUACCCCAGUAGUC